rnacentral:rRNA from 1 species
CACACCGUAAACGAUGGACACUAGGUGUCGGGGGCCCUUGCACCCUCGAUGCCGUAGCCAACGCAUUAAGUGUCCCGCCUGGGGAUUACGGCCGCAAGGUUAAAACUCAAAGAAAUUGACGGGGGCCCGCACAAGCGGUGGAGGAUGUGGUUUAAUUCGAUGCAACGCGAAAAACCUUACCUGGGCUUGACAUCCCGCGCUACCCUGUGAAAGCAGGGGUUCCCUUCGGGGACGCGGUGACAGGUGC